GCAGUAGCCACGGUAAUACGAAGGGUGCAAGCGUUACUCGGAAUUACUGGGCGUAAAGCGUGCGUAGGUGGUGGUUUAAGUCCGUUGUGAAAGCCCUGGGCUCAACCUGGGAAUUGCAGUGGAUACUGGGUCACUAGAGUGUGGUAGAGGAUAGUGGAAUUUCCGGUGUAGCAGUGAAAUGCGUAGAGAUCGGAAGGAACAUCUGUGGCGAAGGCGACUAUCUGGGCCAACACUGACACUGAGGCGCGAAAGCGUGGGGAGCAAACAGGAUUAGAUACCCCCGUAGUCCCUGUCUCUUAUAC
rnacentral:rRNA from 1 species